GCCCAAGAUUUAGGAAUUGCCCAGAAUUUUAACUUUAAUUCUCAAGUCCCAAGACUGGUCUUCAUAAGUCCCAGGAACAGUCCCAUUUAUCUAACAACUCAAAAUUACAUAGCUACUGGAAUUUGGAACUGCCCCAUUUUUCUGUUUUAAAGUUUUCAGAAAUUAUGGUAAUAAUAAUUUUGGGAUAAAUAAGAAUAUUUACCUAGUGAAACAGAUCUGAGAGCAGAACAGGAUCUAAUGGAAGAGAACCCCAGGGUAGAUUGAUUUAAUUUAAUUUUUGUGAGAUGUAGUCUCACCCUCUCGCCCAGGCUGGAGUGCAGUGGCAUGAUCAUGGCUCACCACAACCUUCGCCUCCUGGGUUCAAGGAAUUCUCCUGCCUCAGCCUCCUGAGUAGCUGGGAUUACAAACACUCACCACCAUGCCUGACUCAUUUUUGUAUUUUUAGUAGAGACAGAGUUUUGCCAUGUUGGCCAGGCUGGUCUCCAACCCCUGAGCUCAAGAUUGCCUGCCUUGGCCUCCCAAAGUGCUGGGAUUAUAGGUGUGAGCCACCGCGCCAAGCCAGAUUUAUUUUUAAACUCUUUAAAUUAACCUGGCAUUAUUGCCUAUUUUAAGUUUCAUCUUAAUAUUCACUAGUCACUCUAAAGAACCUAACCUUUUUAACAAUAUUGUAUCAGAGUAUCUUGAGUACAAAAUAGCAUAUAAUUCUGCCCUGGUUAUUUAUUUGAUGAAUGUUUAUGAUUUGACCAUGUUGACAAGGAAAUGAGUUUGGUUUUAUAAUACUAACAUGAGGCUGGCACUGUGGUCAUGGUGGAGGGGACUGCAGUUCUGAGGUGGAACAGGCCGGGCACCAAGGCGCAGGAUUUCUAUAAUUGGCCUGAUGAAUCCUUUGAUGAAAUGGACAGUACACUAGCUGUUCAACAGUAUAUUCAACAGAAUAUAAGAGCUGAUUGCUCCAAUAUUGACAAAAUUCUUGAACCACCUGAAGGCCAAGAUGAAGGUUUAUGGAAGUAUGAACAUUUAAGGUAAUUCUGCCUUGAGCUAAAUGGACUUGCUGUCAAACUUCAGAGCGAAUGCCAUCCAGAUACUUGCACUCAAAUGACAGCAACUGAACAAUGGAUUUUUCUUUGUGCAGCUCAUAAAACUCCAAAAGAGUGUCCUGCUAUUGACUACACUAGACACACAUUUGAUGGUGCUGCAUGUCUUCUGAAUAGCAAUAAAUAUUUUCCCAGCAGGGUUAGCAUAAAGGAACCAUCUGUAGCGAAACUAGGAUCAGUAUGCCGUAGGAUUUACAAAAUAUUUUCACAUGCUUAUUUUCAUCAUCGGCAGAUAUUUGAUGAAUAUGAAAAUGAAACAUUUUUGUGUCAUUGGUUUACUAAAUUUGUGAUGAAAUAUAAUUUGAUGUCCAAGGAUAACCUGAUUGUACCAAUUUUAGAAGAGGAAGUACAGAAUUCAGUUUCUGGGGAAAGUGAAGCAUGAAGGGAAUCAUAUGGAAAAAUAUACUGAUCACAUAAUUAACAUUAAUUAUGUACUGUAUAUAUCAUUUUAGACACAUCAAUCAUGUAUCCAUAUUAUAGCUUCUUUGUUUAGUAUAGAUUUUUGUAUGCUGGGUUUGCCUUUUAAAUGGGAAAUACUUUUUAAGUUAUUCAUAAGCUGUAUAUUCACCAAUGUGGCACUCAUGGUUUUUAAAUAAGAUUAGUAUUAUCUGUUUAUAAUGCCUGUUAAUAAAAGAAUUUACAGUUUGGUAAAAAAAAA